UACGGGGGGGGCAAGCGUUGUUCGGAAUUACUGGGCGUAAAGGGCGCGUAGGCGGGUAGUUAAGUCUCUAGUGAAAGCCCACGGCUCAACCGCGGAAUUGCCGUUGAUACUGGGUGUCUUGAGUAUGGAAGAGGUAGGUGGAAUUCCGAGUGUAGAGGUGAAAUGCGUAGAUAUUCGGAGGAACACCAGUGGCGAAGGCGGCUUACUGGUCCAUUACUGACGCUGAGGUGCGAAAGCGUGGGGAGCAAACAGG
rnacentral:rRNA from 1 species